CCACGAUGAUGCGCUUUCUUAGGACACCUUUGGAUUGACUGUGAAAAAGAAACCUUGACUGAGCGGC
ensembl:snoRNA SNORD58 Small nucleolar RNA SNORD58